UUUGUGUGUUUUAGAUAAAGUGUGUGUUUGUGUAGUGAAAGCAGAGUGUUUGUGUUGUGGUUUUAGUGUGUGUAUGGUGAAUGCUGUGUGUGUUUGUGUUGUGGUUUUAGUGUGUGUAUGGUGAAUGCUGUGUGUGUUUGUGUUGUGGUUUAAGUGUGUGUAUGGUGAAUGUAGUGUGUGUUUGUGUUGUGGUUUUAGUGUUU